rnacentral:rRNA from 1 species
GAUGAACGCUGGCGGCGUGCCUAAUACAUGCAAGUCGAGCGAACAGACGAGGAGCUUGCCCCUCUGACGUUAGCGGCGGACGGGUGAGUAACACGUGGAUAACCUACCUAUAAGACUGGGAUAACUUCGGGAAACCGGAGCUAAUACCGGAUAAUAUAUUGAACCGCAUGGUUCAAUAGUGAAAGACGGUUUUGCUGUCACUUAUAGAUGGAUCCGCGCCGCAUUAGCUAGUUGGUAAGGUAACGGCUUACCAAGGCAACGAUGCGUAGCCGACCUGAGAGGGUGAUCGGCCACACUGGAACUGAGACACGGUCCAGACUCCUACGGGAGGCAGCAGUAGGGAAUCUUCCGCAAUGGGCGAAAGCCUGACGGAGCAACGCCGCUUGAGUGAUGAAGGUCUUCGGAUCGUAAAACUCUGUUAUUAGGGAAGAACAAAUGUGUAAGUAACUAUGCACGUCUUGACGGUACCUAAUCAGAAAGCCACGGCUAACUACGUG